AGGGGGUUGAAACAGAAUCCUAUCCAUUUCCUUUUUCUAUAAAACAAAUCUGUUUCUGGACUUGAUCUGCUCCGAGCUGCAAAAGGUCACUUUAUUAUGAUCAUCAUAAUUCAGCCACAUCACCAAGAAACAUGGCAACCUGUCCCUGCGUCUGCCUGCCUGCCGGUCCUCAAAAUAACCAGCAGCCAAUCAGAGCUCAGGGGGCGUGGCCUGGUGUGGGUUGCAUGCUUACACUGAGCCCCUCAUGUUUAUUCUGAAUGAACAGUGGAGCAUGUGCCUCUGCCUCCCAGCUGAGCGGAUAGCCUCUCAAACCACUGUCCUUCUCUGUGUGCGGGUGAGAGAGUGUGUAAGUGUGUUGGUGCGGUGAGGGGGACCUAGCCAUGGACUACAGUAGCUGUCAGAUAGACGAGGAGGGAUUCUGCCUCUCCAGGAGGGUAGCCGUUGAUUAGAGGCAAAGAGCAGAGCAGCUCUCUACACUGAAUGGACUGUGAGUGUGGAGGGAGGGAAGCAAAGAGGGAGGGAAGCAGAGAGGGAGGGAAGCAGAGAGGGAGAGAGGCAGAGAGGGAGGGCUGCUGGGGUGUGCACUUUAUAGACACGCACCGACAGGCAGACCCACAGGAGACAGAGAGAGAGAGAGAGAGAGAGAGAGAGAGAGAGAGAGAGAGAGAGAGAGAGAGAGGUGGGGGGAGAACAGUAGAGAGCACAGGAGCAGUAUUCUUCUUUCUGGAAGGAAGGAUGACUCUGCUGUGACCAAGACUCCUCUACCAGUGUCUAAUGAACAGGAUUGGAGAAGAAGGACUAGUUGCCCUCUGAGGAAGACUGCCUGGAGAGAGAGCGAGAGGGAGAGAGAGAGAAAGGGAGCAAGAGAGAACUGUGCUGCCUUAGAGAGAGGGAAAGAGGACUCUGACUCUGCAGGUUGCUAAUCCCUGAAGCUGAGGAGAGAGAGAGAGACAGAGAGAGAGAGCGAGAGAGAGCGGAGGCAAAGUCACGCACACUGUGGAAGCAGGAAUUUGUGUGUUAUUGUAUUAGCCUCAAUUCCUCUGCUUCCCUCCAGCCCUCAGCUCUGCGUGCCUAUGCAUGGCAUAGCCUCUGCGAGAGACAGCAAAAUAAAUAACGAAAGAAAGGACAGAGAAAUAUCGAAAUCGAGAGGGGUCCAUCUAAAAGAUUCCACAGUAAUUCCCCGUCCAUUCAUCAGCAUGUCGUCCAACGAGCUAAGUGCUCCAGACGCUGACUCCGGAUGCAUCCGCACCUUUAAAGAACACAUGCACCUGGAGCUGAACACUGGCCAGGGGGGGAAGAGGGGCGCCAUGUCGCCCAAACUGUCCCCCCGCAGUUCCCCGCGCUUCUUCCGCAAGCUCAUGGUCAACAAGGGGGGGAUCCGCCACCGUCGGCGCUUCACCGUCGCUCACACCUGCUUUGACGUGGAGAAUGGCCCAUCAGCCAGCUGCAGUCCAUUGGACCCUUCAGCGUCUCCCGGGUCAGGCCUGGUCCUACACACCAACUUCCCUGGACACAACCAGCGCAGAGAGUCCUUCCUCUACCGCUCAGACAGUGACUACGAACUCUCGCCCAAGUCCAUGUCCCGAAACUCCUCCAUCGCAUCCGAACUACAUGGUGAUGACCUGAUAGUAACGCCUUUUGCUCAGGUCCUUGCAAGCCUUCGAAGUGUAAGAAAUAACUUCACAGUCCUGACCAAUGUCCAAUGUGCUUCAAACAAGAGGUCCCCUGCGGCCACUCAGCCUCCCAUCACAAGAGUCUGUCUGCCAGACGAGUCGUACCAGAAGCUGGCCAUGGAGACCAUGGAGGAGCUGGACUGGUGUCUGGACCAGCUGGAGACCAUCCAGACCUAUCGCUCCGUCAGUGACAUGGCCUCCAACAAGUUCAAGAGAAUGUUGAACCGGGAGCUGACACACCUCUCAGAGAUGAGUCGCUCCGGGAACCAGGUGUCCGAGUUCAUCUCCAACACCUUUAUGGACAAACAGAACGACAUGGACAUGCCAUCUGUGACCCCCAAGGAGAAGGCUGGUCGGGAGAGGAAGAAGCAGCAACAGCUGAUGACUCAGAUCACUGGAGUGAAGAAGGUCUCUUAUGGACCCUCCCUCUCCAACUCCUCCAUCUCACGUUUCGGGGUCAAGACGGACAAGGAGGACAUGCUCUCCAAGGAGCUGGAGGAUCUGAAUAAGUGGGGUCUGAACAUCUUUACCGUGUCAGAGUACUCCGAACAUAGACCGCUCACCUGUAUCAUGUACGCCAUCUUCCAGGAGAGAGACCUGCUGAAGACCUUUAAGAUCCCGACAGAGACGUUUGUGGCGUACAUGAUGACCCUGGAGGACCACUACCAUGGAGACGUGGCCUACCACAACAGCCUCCACGCGGCAGACGUGGCCCAGUCCACACACAUCCUACUCUCUACACCAGCCCUCGAUGCGGUCUUCAGUGAUCUAGAGAUUUUGGCGGCCAUCUUUGCUGCAGCAAUCCAUGAUGUGGACCACCCGGGGGUGUCCAACCAGUUCCUCAUCAAUACCAACUCUGAGCUGGCCCUGAUGUACAACGAUGAGUCCGUGUUAGAGAACCACCAUCUAGCUGUGGGCUUCAAGCUGCUGCAGGAGGACAACUGUGACAUCUUCCAGAGCCUGACCAAGAAGCAGAGGCAGAGCCUAAGGAAGAUGGUGAUCGAAAUGGUUCUGGCCACUGACAUGUCCAAGCACAUGAGUCUGUUAGCUGACCUGAAGACCAUGGUGGAGACCAAGAAGGUGACCAGCUCUGGGGUCCUGCUGCUGGACAACUACACCGACAGAAUACAGCCAUCUUUCUUCUUCUCGCUUUCUCUCCUACCACUCUAUAUCACUCUCACCUUCUUCUCUCCCUCCGUCUCUCCAUCAGGUGCUGAGGAACAUGGUUCACUGUGCUGACCUGAGUAACCCGACCAAGUCCUUGGAGCUGUACCGUCAGUGGACCGACCGCAUCAUGGAGGAGUUCUUCCACCAGGGAGACAGGGAGAGGGAGAGAGGCAUGGAGAUCAGCCCCAUGUGUGACAAACACACUGCCUCAGUAGAGAAAAGCCAGGUGGGUUUCAUAGACUACAUCGUCCACCCUCUGUGGGAGACGUGGGCUGACCUGGUGCACCCUGAUGCUCAGGACAUCCUGGACACUCUGGAGGACAACAGGAACUGGUACCAGAGCAUGAUUCCCCAGAGCCCCUCUCCUCCCUGGGCCACGGAGCAGCACGAGCAGGGUGGAGGUGAAGGGGGCCAGGUGGGAGACAAGUUCCAGUUUGAACUCACCCUGGAGGAGGAGGACUCUGAGGGUACAGAGAAAGAUGAACAGAGCCAGGAGGAUGAGGAGGAGGAAGAGGAUGUUUUGGGGGAGUCGUCUCGGUCUCCGGUUGACUACUUUGACUGUCAGGACCCCGAGGAAUCCAUGGAGCCCACGUCAUCCAUAGCGAUAAUUACUCACGAUGCAUCACCCACAGACACUUAAUGGGCUCGGCUGCACCGCAAUGGUGGUUGGUUUAAUGUUUUAAACAGGAGAAAUCCUGCAGCUGUGCUUUUUAACAAGCCCACGGGGGUCUUAGUUUGAGCUCGCAUGGGGCGUCAGUUUCAACCCCCCCAUCCUUGCACCGUUAGGAGCCGGCAACAGAGGGACAGUUUCAGUGGGGCGGCUACGGAGUUCUCAGGAAAAAUGCUGCAAACAUUUUGGGCCUGAAGGACUGACGGAAAGGCCUCUGAGGAAAUGAAAUGAAGGACUUGGGCCAAUCUGGGAAAUGGUUGUUUUUCCAUCCCGACUGGCAAAUGUCAACACUACUACUGAGAGAAGUUUUGUACCUUGUGACUUUUUUACUGAAAUGGGAUGUCAUCAGGUAGCUUAUGAACUACUGAUUGAUGGACAUGAGUUUAUAUAGAGAGAGAAAAAUAUGUUCACUUUUUUCUUGUAUCAUUUGUCAGAGGACUUUUAUGUGCCUUUUUACUAUUAUCUUUUAAAUAGUUUUUUAAUUUAUUGAACACACUUUAGUAUGAAUGUUGUUGUUUUUUCUUUCUUUUUCGAAAGCUCAAGAGCAAAAUCCUUUUAUAUCUCAGACAAAGAGAACAGUCUUCCUACUACUAUUGGGCAAUAGAAGAAAUCCAAACUUAGACAAACAAUUCCUGGACAUACUCAUCAAAUGCUAAAAACAAGUUUUCCCAUAAUAAGAAAUACACAUUCUGUCAUCUUAAUCCAUGUACAAAAUAUAUGUUUCUAUAUGGAAAUUAAAAGUACACAAUGUACACAUUCGUGUUGCACGUCUAGAUUGUCAGACCUCACUGUAGACAAAUGGUAGGCAGAUAGAUGUUCACUUUAGCUCCAGAAAACAGUUACACAACAUUCUGACAUCUAACCUGCCUCCCCACAAUCUCCCUCAUGGAUCAAAUCCUGAUAUCGUUCAGACUCCAAACAAAUGUCAACAUCAUAGACAGAAAUAGCACUUGGCAGCCAAAGCAAAGUUUCUUAUCACAUGCAGUUGGAAGGCUAUUUCCAGCUUCCUCUCGAGGUAUCCUGCUGUCGUCUAUUAAUCCUACUGGACCAAAGAUUCCAAAACCUAACUGGUUCUGAUAAUGUAACAAUCUAACUAAGGAAGGACCCCCUAUCCCUGUAGAAUCAGGACCGGUCCAGAUGAUGAAAGGUGGCCGGGCGGCUGCAUGUCUAGAAGUCAGCUGCACUAUAAUUAUUCACGUGGUUCAUACAGUUCAGCUAUUUAUUCAUCCACCUAAUAAAAGGGAACGAGGUUCUGCUUCUACCCAUUGACCUUAAUCUUCCCUUCCCACUAACUGUAUCACAUUUCCUGACCGGACGGGAAGUUUAUCAGGAUUUAGUCCGUUAAAUUUAAUCCUCUGCUGCAAAACCCAAACCCGAGGAGAAAAAUACUUAUUGUUGAGAACAAGAGGAUGAUGACCCACAGUAGUAGGUUAUCUAGAGAUGAUGUGACAGAGACACCAAACCAAAAGGCCCCGGACAGUGUAAUUCACUGUCACUGUGGGCCAGCAUUAAGACCGUCAACUCCAGGCAGUCUGCAAGGCAGAUUGUCCUUUACAGGCCUCCAUGGCUGGUUUUCAUGAUGGCCUAUUCAGCUUCUAUGACCUAUUCUCCAUUAUUCACUUAGGUUUACUGACAUACUCAAAGGUACUUCAACUACCUUAUUGUCUAUAACCUCACUCACUCCAGCAGGCUUACAUGGUAAUCGUGUGCGUCGAUGCGUGUGCGUGUGUGUGUGUGCAUGUCAUAAAAUGUGAGAGUACGUGUGUGUAUACAUGUUAGUCUUUGUCACCAAGGCUCAACAUGACUCCUCUUAUUGUCUGUCACUAGAGCUCAAGCUGGUCCUUUGCUGUUUAUAACAGUGUAUUCAUUACAUUCAGUUGUACUGUACAUAAGAAUACUGUUUCAGUCAGUGUAAAUCUAUUUUAAUUUAUAUGCACUUGCAUUACCUGGAAGGGGAGUGUCUAACAUGUACAGGGCUCUGCGUCGGGGGCUCUGCGUCGGGGGCUCUGCGUCGGGGGCUCUGCGUCGGGGGCUCUGCGUCGGAGGCUCUGCGUCGGGGGCUCUGCGUCGGGGGCUCUGCGUCGGGGGCUCUGCGUCGGGGGCUCUGCGUCGGGGGCUCUGCGUCGGGGGCUCUGCGUCGGAGGCUUUUUAUAUCCUAUAUUUGUUUUUUUAAUAUUAUAUAAUAAGUCAAUAUAUAUUCGCACAAAUGUUUGAGUGCCCUGAGCAGCAGCUAAAGAGACAUAUUCACAACCUGUAGGUUUACAACGCAUAGAGGACAUGUUAAACAACAGAGGCCUGGUUAUAGCUAUGAUAAGCUGUGGAGAAGCUUUGAUACUGUAGUCUAUCACUAGUCCACACCGAGACGUUCUCCUCUUAGCAGCUUGUAGUAGUGACUAAUCCAUGCUCCUCUGUGCAACAUUUUCAAUGCAGAUUGCUGAUUUGGGGUUCAGAUCUACUGGUUCGACAGAAGUAAGGAAUAACAACAGAAAGACAGACAGAGUGUCUGCUCCUUUACACGUCCUUCCAUGUAAAGUAGUUCUAGGGGAUUAUUGGUGGCAUGCUACAAUAUCUCUGAGCUGAACGUGAUGAAUCGUUACAAACGUGAUCUUCUUGUAAUUGAUUGUGCUAUUGUGAACUAUUUUGAUUUGACCAAAACUUGUUAGCAGUUUUGAAAUUCAAAUUUGUCACCAGUAUAACAUUGUUAAUCUAUGUUAAACAUUUUGGUCUGAGUUGUGGUUAGCCACGCUUGGCACUAUCUGCAUGAGAGAGGUUUUUUAUUUGACAUGUCUUUUGAAUACCUACCUAACGCGUUACAGUCGCAGCGGACAUAUUAAAUGUUUCACACAAUGUAUGGUAUAAUAUUGUAUAUUGUGUUAAAAUAUCAGAAAAUACUUUUUCUAUGAAGUGAUUAAAAAACAAAGCAUGAAUA